UUCUAAGUCUCAGAUAUUUCAGGCACUGAUCUUGGACCUGCCUUACUGCGCAACUGCGACACCUGCUGGCCAAUCAAGCAUAUUGCACCUAUAAUAAUAUCCUGAAAAUUAUCACAGAGGAAAUGUGAACUCCUGUCUUGUGGAUCUUACUGGGUCCUCAUCUUUGGAAAAGAGAACCAAUUACAAGCCUCCACAUUGAAGUCAGGUGUGAAGGUUGCAAGCCUUGUGUGCUAAUGUGAACCCACAUGUCCAACAUGGUGCUGCAAUGUCUGUGUUGUGUCUCCGUGGAAGAAGAGAGAUCUAGGUGUGGAGACAAGUGUGUUGACAUACAAUACCUACACAGGAAAUCUGUUUCACUGUAUAAAUGCUACAGUAUUCAGUAUCUAACCCAGCCAAAGUUUCCCACUAAAUAGUUCCUAAACUUUACAUUUAUAAUUUGUAAAACAAAAUAAAACC